rnacentral:tRNA from 1 species
CCGAGCUUAGCUCAGUUGGCAGAGCAUCCGACUGUAGAGGUUUAGCAGAAAUCGGAGGGUCCCUGGUUCAAUUCCGGGAGCUCGGA